GGCGUCGUCUCUCUUCAGGAGCGCCAACACUACCAAGCUUCCCCCUGCAAAAUUCAGAAAGGAUGCGCUUUGGUGAGAACUUGGCUCAGCCUUCCCGUGGCUUGGGAGAUGAGGUUGGAAUGAGAAUGUCACCAGACCUCGGAAGGGGACAUAACGGUACCUCCUAGUCCCAGGACACGGGGUUGAAAAAUGGAGCCCAAAAUAUUUCAACUUCUGUGAUAAGAGGCAGGUCCUGGCUUACCCACCUCUAACUCUGUUGCCAAAGCACUAUGCCAGCAAAGGCUUGAUUGUCAAAAGAGUAUGGCAAUUCAUGGUGAAAGGGGGGAAAAACCCCACACACUGGAAGAUAAGAGGAUGCCAAUGGAGCAGACAGUGGCAGCUCCUUCCUAAGCUUAUUAAUUUCCCACAGGGAGGUCUCUGGAAGGGGCUGUGAGGGUUGAGGGAGGAAGAGAAUAGAUCUUCAAGGAGGAGUAUUGUAUUACCUAGCCUCACCAUUCAGAAUAAGGAACUUUUUAAGGGAUAAACUUUACUGACUACUUGUACAUGAAAGAGAAACAGAAAUGAUGGGCUGGUCAAUUAAGAAAAACACCAGGCCUGUGCCAAAAAUGUUGUUCAGAGGGUUGUUAACUCAUUUUCUACCACUUUGCCUUUAUCAAGAGAAAGAUACAUGGUGGGUUUUUAAAAAGACCCAGAGGGGUUUGUUUGUUUGUUUGUUUUACAUUUUGGUGAGUCGAGAAGAGCCAUGCUUGCUGAGUUGGGUAAAAGAUGAUGUGAGGGGGUGGGGUGUGGGAAGGGCUACUCGUUUUUUAUAAGUAUACAUUGCAAACUCAGUUUAGGUCUGUUCCUCACCCUAAGUAUUGUAGUUGGCUCACUGGGUAUUACAUGAGCAAAUGUUUUCCAGGCUGGCCCUGGGAAAGCCAGAGACUCAGGGUUGGGUAAUUCUGUAGCCUGUGAGGAAGGACUUCAGGCUCCCAACUGUAGGGAUCAUUACUCCUGACUCAUACUUUUCUCUCUUGGGCUUUUCCUUGUAAAUGAUCCUGCUUUUAAUCCUGCUGCUCCUGCAGCUACUACUACCACUAUUAUCAUUACAAUGAUAAUCUACCUUUCUCAAGUUUAAAACUUUCUCUCUUAGCCAUUCCCAAGUUUUACUUAUACUUGUGUUGGAGUUCAGCUGAGAAUGGGAUAGUCUUUGAAAGCUGUAUGUUAUUAUCUUCCUCUCCUGGAUCUGGGUUGUAGUCAACUGGCUUAAUGGCCUCUGAAUAUGACUUUUAGAAGGGCUAGCAAACCGAAGUGACAUUGUGCACAACUACCAACAGAUAUGAAAUCAGUGCCUCAUACUCAUCUGUGUGAGUGUGACCUCUGAACCAAAUCCAGUAUCCACUAUUUCAACCCCCUGGGUUCUCCCAAAUGUUAUACUCUUCCCCAGAUGAGUGUGUAAAGAUCUGGCAAGAAAAGACUUGGAUUUUUGUCAAAUCUGUAGGUUCCAAAGUCCUUCCUAGACUCAGACACCACACCCUUUGAACGCAUCUCAGUGUGAAGGGGGUUGACUGGUUGUAGCCAGGUCUCCAUCAGUCACUCUGAACCUCCUUACCCUCUGGGUCAGGAUUUUUAGGCAGACUGCAGAUCAGGGGAUGUCUAGCAGUCUCAGAUUGGUGUCCAGCAGUCUCAAAUGAAAUUUUGAGAAGUCUAACUCUAGGCCUUGGGAAUGUGACAACAUUGAGAGGAUUUACAUCAAAUUUCUUCACACAGCCAGGAGAAUGGACAUCAUCCCAAUUCAGUACCUGUGUGCCACCCUUUCCUUCUCUGUUUUAGGUGGAUUGUAAUUCCUGAGUUAAAUAAAGAGGCAACGAUAGACACACAGCAUAUAUAUCCUGGGCAGACUAUACUCCUUGACAUCUAAUCCCAGUUAGCUUUCUGAGGUAUGGACUGUAAGAAUUCGGGCUGCUGGGGAAAAAGCAGCAGAAAGCAUGGCUCUUCUGGGAAAGAGGUCUAGGCAGGGGACACAAAUGUCCAGUACUUGGAAUAAACCCAUGGUACACUUUCCUGAGGCCUGAAGAGAGAGACAUUUCAUUUUCUCCAGGAAGAGAGAAGCGAGAGAAAGAAAGUAAAAAGAAAGGAAGAAAGAGAGAGACAGAGAGUAUUUGAGAAGUAGAUACCAGUUAGGAACCACAAUAGUGGUGAUUUACCUUUUAUUAAAGAGUAUUGGAAAUAUGGUUCAAUUUCUUCACAAAUUAUGCUCCCAAACUGCUCCCUUGCUCAUAUUGCCAACUGAACUCUGAGUGAAAACUAUCUUUCAUGAUUUCAGUUCAAUUAAUCCCAGGUGUUCUAUGAUUUAAUCCAAGGGUAUUAAUUUAGCAUCAAUGGGGGAUGUCUCCCAAAACAUUAUAUGAAGAGGUGUUAGUUUUCAGAAGAUUUUCAAAAACACUUGAAAGCUACCAGUGUAAGUCUUUCCUCACUGCUAAUACUUGGAAAGGUGGUCUCCUUAAAAAAAUUCAAAGAUCAACAUGUCACAAAUGCAGCAACAUCAUUAUUACUAUAAACACUUCUGGACUUACUUCUCCACUUAUGAAGUGGAGGCAAGAAUAGGCAAGGAUUGUAACAUAUUUGUUCUCUUGAACUUGCUGAGCGAAAAGCUGCUUCCCAGGCUGAUUUGAUAGUAUCUGUAAUAUAAUAUAGUAACCAUGGUAUUAUUCAUAAUCUCCUUUUAAGGAAGUUUAAAGGAAAACUCAUAUUUUUCAAAGAAAUAAUACCCGGAAUUGCUAAAUAAAACACUCAUACAUUCCUAAGAAUAAACAUGUUGAAUAUAAUGACCUAGAUGUUGAGAUUUGCUAGGCCUAGAAUUUAACUUAGGCCUGAGUAACUUUAUACCUGAGCAGAAAUGGUCCUCUAUGCAUAUAUGGGUAUGGGUGUGUGUUUAAGAAGGUUGGGGUGAAUGUUGUCAAAGGCAGCAAUUAAAAAUAAGUUUUAGGACUGUCAUUUUACUUGGAUGCUUGUCCAUUAAGUAGCCAGUGCUCUUUUUUGGAUGUUUUCAUGUAAGAUGGUUUUGAGAAAAUAGUUUGUGUGAAGUCAUACAGGACAGCAAUUGGUCCCAAGGGAGCAAAUUGAAUAGAGUUAUAAAGAAUAUAUUUCCUGAGUAUAAUGUUACUAUCUAAUAUCUUGUGUGUGUGAUCAACUAUCCCAUAGCAUUAUCUAUAUUCUAGAGUCAGUUUACUGAAGUCCUAAGACAUCUAUGUUCCAGAUAAGUGGGGUUCCCCUGAACUUGUGAAAAUAUCCUCGAGAAAGCCAAUGCCAAUGCACUGAAUGCAACGAGUUUCAUUUCUAACCUGGGGGACUGAAUUAGCUGCUCCUCCUCAAGGCCCCACACAGCUGAGUUUGAGUCCUAAGUUUGGGAAACAAGACAAGGCACAGAAGUGCCUGCUAGACUGGGACACUUCCUGAUGUCUAGAUUGUCCGGUGCCCAUGUCUUAGUGAAAGGUACAGCGACAGAACUAAGAGUGCAGAGAAGGCCAAAUCGCGGACUUCAAUGUUGGCAAACCGGGUGUCCCUGGGAGAGAUCCAAGGAGGGCAACGCCCCCACAGUAUCAGGAGGCGCAGACACGGAUCACAUCGUUUGAGCUGAUUCACCAAAGAGUGCAGAGCCCCGACACAGGAGGCUACCAGGGCAGAACAAAACAAGCCAUCAUCUGCCCGGCGUCGCCCUUGUAGACGCACAGUGCGGAAACCGUGAAUGUGGGGCAGUGUGGGGCCAAGCGGUGUGCUUGGUACGCUCCAAAUGAGCCCUGGGUGAAGCAGGGAGGAAAUGCAGUUCCCAAGGGCCCGCCACAUUUCCCAUGUUCUUUAGCCUUCCAUCGGCAAUUAGUGCCAUCACUUGCUUCCCGCUAGGUGACCAUUUUACCUGCGGAAAGGCGUUCCAAGGGCGGGGCCUGCGGGAACCUAACAUUCUUCCCACCACCCUCUCUCCCUGCCUCUGUGCACGACCUCAACCAGCUGGUCGCCUGAUCUCGUUUAGCAGGGCAGGAGCCUGUGUUCCCAUUUCUUACUAGCUGGGCUGCCGAUGACCUAGCUCAGCCUUGGUUUUCCUCCGAUUGAACUAAAGCUGGCAAGAGCUGCCUCCCGGAUCGCAGUGAGGACUCUAAGGGAACGAGGGCGAGCGCGCUUUGGAAAGCCAGUUGCUGAGCAGAUGGUAAGGGAUCACUUCCAAGAGCCAGGGCUAGUUUCAUUUCAGUCUUGGACACGAGAUGGUCUCAAUGCCUUCAUUAAUGAACAUUCUCCUUAGAAGUCUGGAGAACUGACCCAAGAAGAAGGACCAACAAUUCAGGCUCAGGAAAGCCCACAACUCCACAGGGGAACCAGGACUGCAUGGCUUCGAAUCCCAGCCCUCCCCACUCAGGUAAUUUAACUGGUCUGUACUUCAGUCUUUCAUCUGUGAACUGAGGGCAUUAAAGGGACCCUUUUCGUAAAGUUAGUGCUGAGGUGAUACUUAGCAGAGAACAACGCUUGGUACAUACUAAAUGCCCAUUUCAGAGCUGCCUAUUGUUACUAACACUGCCUUUGCUUCCUCAUUAGAAAACUGGGAACUGUAUUGUGCACCCACUUUCCAAGUGACCCAGCGAGGGCUGAGGAUUUCCCGAAGUUUCUAGGGAGAAAUGGAAGGAAAGGCAGUCAUCCCUUCCCUCUUUCCCAGCCCGCACCGUGCACCUCCCACCCCCACCCCAGGUUUAAUGGAAGAGCAAUCAGUUUGCUGCGGAAGGCCUGCCCGGUAGAUUGAUAUUUGACUUCCAUCCUCCCAUGCCCAGCUUGCAAGUUCUUUCUUUAGGCCUGGUAGAGGCGCCAAGGGUCAGGGUCGCGGUGCCACGUUAGAAACGCGGAUAAGUCAGUCUGUUAAAGGCUGAUCCGGGCGACUCCGUGGGAUGAGAAGCAUGUGAACACGUUGAUGGUAAACUCCAGCGCCGCGGCCAAAAGCCGAGGUCUGGGGGUGGGCAGAGAAACUUGGGGACCGGGCCUCCCAGCCCUGACCAGGGCUCUGGGCCUCCUAGAGCGCGCGUGACCUCCCCACUCCUGUGAAGGGCUGUGGCUCAGAUGCGGACCGGGUGGAUGGCUCCAGCCCUCCCCUACACACCCAAGUCCCGGAGCUUGGCAGGACGAGGUAACUGAUGCCCGGAGGCAGCAGCUACACCACUGGCACUGGAGCUUUGUGCAGGGCGGGUUCCCCCCGUGGCUGCCCUCACUCCUUGUCGCAGCGCCCGCACGCUGGCUUCGAGCGGAGCCCUGUGGGCCGCACGACAGACGGAGCUCCGUGUCUGGCUCGCGAUGCCCGGCGGA